UCCCCUCUGUCUCCCCAAACAUCACCCACACAGACUGUUUCCUUUAUGGUCUUGUUAAAAUAAUUUCAUGGUGGCAGCCUUGUUCUCAGGCUCACUGAGCAGGACCGAGCGUGGGGUUAUUAAAAAGGGGGAGUCAGCCCUGACCAACGUGGCUGUAUUCUCUCGGCUCUUAAAAAGCAAGAAGCGUUUAAUCACCUGGCUUGGGCAAGGACGUAUUAAAGAAACCAGAGUCCAGUGCCAGCGCCAGGCUGAACUCCUGUUAAUAAUAGUCGCUGGUGAGGAAACCCUCAGGUUAACUUUCAUCAGGAAUUUUCCACAGUAACCAGGACAGCCCACGGCCGGUGGGCGGGCAGUGGAGACGUUCAUUCCAUCACGCACAGUGUUCUGACGGUGGCAUUGGGAACUUACUGGAACGCGUGAGUGGAGUUCUGUUCUCUGGUACUGGGCAAUCUGCAGUGCUUCCUCCUUGGGGCGAAGGAUAGAGAUACCUGGAGGCCUGCUUCACUGCUUAUGAAGUUUCCCUCCUGCAGCCACAAAGUUGCAGACACUACCAUGACUCCAUACUGACUUCCUUGGGCCAACCACACCAAUGUGUCCUGCCAAUGCCCAUGUCCAGUGGAGAAGCAAUUACAGAAGCCAGAACUGCCACCCCAAGAAGAAUUUUGGUCCAGACUCCCAGAGGGAUAAAGAAUAGAGAAACUUCCAAUGAAGGGGGUGGGACAUGGAACUCUGGAGGUGGAAGAUGUGUGGAAUUAUACCCCUGUUAUCUUACAAUCUUGUUAAUCAUUCUUAAAUCACUAAUGAAAAAUAAGAAAGAAGAGAAAGGGGCCCGGCUUGAAUGUGUCAGGCUCUGCAGGCCACAAGGAGUCAGCUCUACCAAAGCUGCAGAAAAGUGGCCACAGACCAAACUAAAUAAUGAAGGACCUUAUGGCCAAAGGACCUUAUGGCCAUGGUGGGCCAGUUGCUGGGGACUGUGGCUCACUGACCCCCAAGUGAGACUCUUUGCCCAUGACCCUCAGGUGACUCUGAGCCAAAUACUGGAUGAAGGGGUGUCAGAGCAAAUCCCUGCUACCCCGCUGCCUCCCCCUCCCAGGACCUCUGGCCAAGUCAGAUGACUUGCCGGGACUUUACUGGGUCACCAAGCUCUCCGCCAGCAAGGUCUUCUCUGUGGAGCCAGGGCAAGGUUCUCCCUGUCCUCACCUCCCUGGGCUCAGAACUUCAUCCCCACCUGAAUGUCUGCUCUGGCCUGUGAUGGUUAUCACUUUACCCUCCCUGAGACCACACUAUGCCGGUGACAGAGAGAAAACAACAAUCCAAAGACUUGCCGAUCAACGAUGGCAAAUCCAGAAGUCACAAAGAAACAGAGACUCAGAUAAUCCCACCUCCUCUGAGGAAGCCAGUGAAAUCGGGGUCAGAGCUGGUGCUCAAAACUUCUGAAAACAGCUUGGCAUGGGGUACAAGCGACGUGAACAUGCUCCCCCCACCCCAAUCCCACAGGAAGGAGAAACGGUCACCCGCACACACCUCGAGGUGCUGUCUUUAGAACCCCGGGUUGCUAACCUCCAAGCUGAAUGACAGGGACAAGGUGAAGGAGGAGACAGCAGCUGGUAUAGUAUGCAGUAAUAGUAUGCAGUCAGAGGGUUGGGCGGUGGCACACUGGGUUAAGUGCACACGGCGAGAAUCAUAAGGAUCCCAGUUCGAGCCCCCGGCUCCCCACCUGCAGAGGUGGGUCACUUCACAAGUGGUGAAGCAGGUCUGCAGGUGUCUAUCUUUCUCUCCCCCUGUCUUCCCCUCUUCUUUCAAUUUCUCUCUGUCCUAUGCAACAACAAUAGACAAAAGAUGGCCGCCAGGAGCAGUGGAUUCAUAGUGCAGGCACUGAGCUCCAGUGAUAACCCUGGAGGCAAAAAGAAAAAAGAAAAAAUAGUAUGCAGUCAUUGAAAAUGACAGGAAGAUUAGGGAGCAAUAGGAACAGUGCUUGUAAUUCCAUGUUCAGUAGGAAAAAAAGGCAGAAUGAUAAUACAUGGUCUCUUGGUGAGUUCUCCCAGCUCCCCAGCCUGAAGACUAUGUUAACCUGCCCGGGCCCAGCCUGGUCUUUCUUGCCCUGAGCCUGUGCCACCCAGGGACAGUCCCAGCCAGUUCCUGCCCACUGUCUGCUUGCAGAACCCCCCGUCUCCUCUGUCCCUGCUGCCUGGCACUGCACCACGGCUCUGUCCCUCCUUGUUCCACUGAAGAGGCUGGGACAGUGUUUCCGGUCACUGCUUAGUGACCAUACUGGCCGCAUGUGAUGGAAACAGAUGCUUUUGUGGGAAUUUCCCACUGAUGAGUUUAAAAAGUUAUUAUUUUAAAUUUAUUGAUGUAUUGGAUAGAGAGAGCCAGAAAAGAAGAAGGAGGGGGAGAUAGAGAGGGAGAGAGACAGAGACACCUGCAGCCCUGCUUCACCACUUGUAAAGCUUUCCCCCUGCAGGUGGGGACCGGAGGCUUGAACCUGGGUCCUUUGUGCACUGUAGCAUGUGUGGUCAACCAAGUGUGCCACUAUCCAGCCCCAAUUUUUUAUUAUCUUUCAAUGAAUUAGAGAUAUACCAAGAAAGAUACAUAC